UAUAUAUAUAUAUAUUUUUAAACUAAAAUUAUCUUUAAUAAGGGAACUAAGGAAGCAUUGCCUGAGGCAGACCAUGCAAAUGGCAGGUAGGGAUCUUGGACAGUAUAGACUUGACACAGUUAUAUUUCUCAGCUAACAAAAUAAUCCCUCAUCCUUUACUGGUACCAUAAUCCAGAAAAUUAUAAGCUUAUAUACUUCUUCUCAUCUCCUCUUAGUUAUAUGGAAUUUUCCCAUUGUCUUCUACCAAAAUUUAAUCCUUCAGAAUUCCCAGUUUUCCCACAUGGUUAAAUGGAAUGUUCAACAUUUUUGUGUGUUAUGCCUCACUAGACCCAUAAUCAACCAAAAUAGACAUUUAUGAUAGACUUAAAGUUCUCUCGUUUUAAGUAAACACACACUAAUUUUUUUAACAAUCUAAACUUCUAAAUAUUCACUAAGUGUUUUACCUUGAAAAUAGACUAUCAAAAUGUGAACAACCAGCUCUCCCAGAAACUAAUAGAGUGAGAACUCACCAUUAAGGAAGGGCACUAAACUAUUCAUGAGGAAUCUACCUUCAAGAUCCAAGCACCUCCCAUUAGGCCUACGUCUCCAACACUGGGGGUCAAAUAUCAACAUGAAGUUUGGAGGGCACAAACAAACCACAUCCAAAUCAUAGCAAGGUGUUUGGCUGUGAACAAACAAAACAAAACAAAAAAAAACAGAAAAAUGGGGCAGUAACUAGAGGAGAUGAGAGAUCAAAAGAGAGGCCUGAUUUUUUAUUAGACAAAGUAGAGAUUGUGUAUUGAUGAACAAUCCAUUGACUGAUGAUAUUAACUGAUUGAUAUGGAUUAAUAUAUAAUUAAUAUCAAUUGAGUGAGUUGGGAGUCUGUGGCAGGUGGAUCACAUGAGGCCAGGAGUUUGAGACCAGCCUGGGUGACAGGGCGAGACCCUAUCUCAAAAUCAAUUGAUAUUAAUUGAUAAUACAGAAGGAGGGUACAACUGCUGCUGUAAUUACCUUGAAUAAAUGAAAGAAGAAGAGCCAUUGGGCACAAAUGAAAGGGUUGCCCUUAGCUAGGAUCAUGGACAGUCUACCCGGUUGUUAUAUUAUAGUAAAUUAUAUUAUUCAUUGUAAAUUCUAUUAUUCAUUGUAAAUUGGAAAUCAGUUCUUUAUUACAUGUUCAGAGACUAGAAAGUUGGAAAUAGCAGCCACAGUUCUGCCUUCUUGGAGGUGUAUAGUCUUAGACAAGUAACUUUCUGGGUUUUAGCUUCCCAGUUGUAGAUCAAAGAUAACAAUAUCCACUGGCAGAACUGGGAACACGUGCCACCACACUGAAAAGGCUACUGAAAAGGCCAUGUACUCUGAAAACACUGAUAUUUUAUUAUUUCAUAGAAUAGUUCACAAUACUUUGUCAUUGAAUAGACAAUGAACGCCUGUGAUUACUUCUGGGACAGCUAAAGAUACAGAUUUACUCCUAAAGGACUCAAAUCACCUAAGGAAAUGCAUUACAGAUGAAUGUACAAAGAUUUAUUGGAAAUGUGUAUUUCCUAGAUUUUGUAGAAUCCACAGACGUUAUUUGGAAUUUAGUUUUGCAACAUUUUAAGUACCUCUCUGCUUAUAUGGAUGGUUUUUCUCCUGUUU
rnacentral:lncRNA from 10 species